UACAGAGACUGCAAGCGUUAUUCGGAUUCACUGGGCGUAAAGAGCGCGCAGGCGGUCGAUCAAGUCGAGUGUGAAAGCCCCCGGCUCAACUGGGGAGGGUCAUUCGAUACUGAUCGACUCGAAGGCAGGAGAGGGUAGUGGAAUUCCCGGUGUAGUGGUGAAAUGCGUAGAUAUCGGGAGGAACACCAGUGGCGAAGGCGACUACCUGGCCUGUUCUUGACGCUGAGGCGCGAAAGCUAGGGGAGCAAACGGG
rnacentral:rRNA from 1 species